ensembl:lncRNA
AGGAAGAAGUGGUCCCGGAAAACGAUGGACGCUCAGUCAUGUCCGACUCUUUGGCGUCCCCAUGGACUGUAGCCCUCCACUUUAUCCCUGAGAUUCUCCCGGCAAGAAUCCUGGAGUGGGGUGUUAUUUCCUCCUCCAGGGGAUCUUCCCAACCCAGGAAUCAAACUCUCAUCUCUUGCAUUAACAGGGGAUCUUCUCAACCCAGGGAUGGAACCCAGGUCUCCCACAUUGCAGGAGGAUUCUUUACCAGCUGAGCCACGGGGAAGCCCAAGAAUACUGCAGUGGGAAUGCAGAUUAUUGGUAUCCGAGAGAAGCUGCAGUGAGUAUGUAUGAAGGUCCAGAUGGUGAACAGAGUAGAGGCCUCACAGUGAGGUGGAAGAAGGAAGGCACUCCUGCCAAUUCAAUGAACUUUAGGGGUCUCAAUUUCUCCAUUUGGAAAUCGAGAAUAGAUACUAUUACAAGGUUGUUGAAAGGAUUUUUAUAAACUAUGCUCAACGUGGUGCCAAGGGUAUUAGUAACUGCUGAGCAAACAGCUGUUAUUAUCA